GGGCCAUUAGCGCAGGCAGGUAGCGCAGCAGGCUUUUAACCUGAAGGUCGUGGGUUCGAUAUGUUUGUCCGCGUAGUACA
rnacentral:tRNA from 1 species